rnacentral:rRNA from 1 species
AUUGAACGCUGGCGGCAUGCCUUACACAUGCAAGUCGAACGGCAGCACGGGAGCAAUCCUGGUGGCGAGUGGCGAACGGGUGAGUAAUAUAUCGGAACGUGCCCGGUCGUGGGGGAUAACGUAGCGAAAGCUACGCUAAUACCGGCAUACGAUCUACGGAUGAAAGCGGGGGAUCGCAAGACCUCGCGCGAUUGGAGCGGCCGAUAUCAGAUUAGGUAGUUGGUGAGGUAAAGGCUCACCAAGCCGACGAUCUGUAGCUGGUCUGAGAGGACGACCAGCCACACUGGGACUGAGACACGGCCCAGACUCCUACGGGAGGCAGCAGUGGGAAUUUUGGACAAUGGGCGCAAGCCUGAUCCAGCAAAUGCCGCGUGCAGGAUCGGAAA